GUAGAAUCCUUUGUAGACGACUUAAAUACGCGGCAGGGUAUUGUAAGUGGCAGAGUGGCCUUGUUGCAAUGAUCCACUAAGAUUCAACCCUUUAUCGCUUCAAUUC
rnacentral:ncRNA from 1 species